GGCCGCCGCCUCUUCCGCCGCCGGGCUCGGGGCCUCCGCAGCGACAACAUGGAGGCCGUGAAGACCUUCAAUAGCGAGGAUUGUGCCUCUACUCCUGCUUGUACAGACUGCUUUUCCAGCAGCAUGGACACAAGAAGCAUAUUGUAUUCCCUGAAUGACUAUAAACCACCCAUUUCGAAAGCGAAAAUGACCCAAAUUACUAAGGCAGCCAUCAAAGCUAUUAAGUUCUAUAAACAUGUGGUACAGAGUGUUGAGAAGUUUAUUCAGAAAUGUAAACCAGAAUACAAAGUACCUGGACUUUAUGUUAUUGACUCCAUUGUGCGACAAUCCCGACAUCAGUUUGGUCAAGAAAAGGAUGUGUUUGCACCCAGAUUUAGUAAUAACAUCAUUAGCACUUUCCAGAAUUUAUAUCGUUGCCCUGGGGAUGACAAGAGUAAAAUAGUGAGAGUACUAAACUUAUGGCAGAAG
rnacentral:sRNA from 2 species